rnacentral:rRNA from 1 species
CUGGAGACAGGUGCUGCAUGGCUGUCGUCAGCUCGUGUCGUGAGAUGUUGGGUUAAGUCCCGCAACGAGCGCAACCCUUGCCUUUAGUUGCCAGCAGUUCGGCUGGGCACUCUAAAGGGACUGCCGGUGUUAAACCGGAGGAAGGUGGGGAUGACGUCAAGUCCUCAUGGCCUUUAUGACCAGGGCUACACACGUACUACAAUGGCCGAUACAAAGGGCAGCGACACUGCGAGGUGAAGCCAAUCCCGUAAAAAUCGGUCUCAGUCCGGAUUGGAGUCUGCAACUCGACUCCAUGAAGUUGGAAUCGCUAGUAAUCGUGGAUCAGCAUGCCACGGUGAAUACGUUCCCGGGCCUU